UACGGAGGGGGCUAGCGUUAUUCGGAAUUAUUGGGCGUAAAGGGCGCGUAGGCGGCCCGGUAAGUCAAAGGUGAAAUCCCUCGGCUCAACUGAGGAACUGCCUUUGAAACUGUCGGGCUUGAGGCCGGGAGGGGGUAGCGGAAUUCCCAGUGUAGCGGUGAAAUGCGUAGAUAUCUGGAGGAACACCGGUGGCGAAGGCGGCAUCCUGGACCGACACUGACGCUGAGGAGCGAAAGCGUGGGGAGCAAACAGG
rnacentral:rRNA from 1 species